UUCUGACCGUAAACGAUGCCAACUAGCGAUCCGCCGGUGGAUUUUUAGCCCUGGUGGGUAGCUUCCCGGAAACGAAAGUCUUCCGGUUCCGGGGGAAGUAUGGUUGCAAAGCUGAAACUUAAAGGAAUUGACGGAAGGGCACCACCAGGAGUGGAGCCUGCGGCUUAAUUUGACUCAACACGGGGAAACUCACCCGGCCCGGACACCGUAAGGAUUGACAGAUUGAUAGCUCUUUCAUGAUUCGGUGGUUGGUGGUGCAUGGCCGUUCUUAGUUCGUGGAUCGAUUUGUCUGGUUUAUUCCGAUAACGAGCGAGACUCUAGCCUACUAAAUAGUAACGAGAUUAUCAAUGUCUCAGUUGCUUCUUAGAGGGAUUUUCGGUGUUUAGCCGCACGAGAUUGAGCAAUAACAGGUCUGUGAUGCCCUUAGAUGUCCGGGGCUGCACGCGCGCUACACUGGCGAAAUCAGCGUGCUGUAUCCAUUCUCGAAAGGGAUUGGUAAACCCAUGAAAAUUUGCCGUGCUUGGGAUCGGAAAUUGCAAUUAUUUUCCGUGAACGAGGAAUUCCAAGUAAGUGCGAGUCAUCAACUCGCUCUG
rnacentral:rRNA from 2 species